CAAGAUGAUCGUGAGCUUACGUUGACGGUCUUCCAUUUCACCUCCCUUCUGACUAUAUACGUAUAUACUUUUUUCCUCUAGUCUACAGUCGUUAAGAAGCAUCCUCCGUAUAGUGAUUAUCUUAAGGGCUUUUCAACUUCUUAACCCCCGUGAUCUUUCUACCCUCGAAACAUAAAUUCCAAGGCGAUCGAGAGAUUUCGACGAACGUUCAAUCGUCGAAGGUCGUAAGCCCUCGAAAGUCGUUCCGAUGCUGAAGUGAUACAUCGUGCGAAAAAGUUUCAGCCCCGAGGAAAGAGAGAGAGAGAGUCGUCGAUCGAAGGGUUCAUCAUAGAGCUAGGAUCAUGGUCCGUUCUUGGACAAGAACAAGAAGCACGUGCGCGUUUAGCAGUUAAUGCAGCCAAAAGAGUUUCUUGUUUCACCCUAAGCAAUUCGGAUAUUAAUGCGACGACUUCGGGAUUCUUAACUCCUACUGCCUCGUCAUGAUGAUGGUGUGAAUCCCACCAUCUCCAUAGAUUGCUUCAAUCUCGAAAAUUCAUGCCUUUCAUCGAUGUUUUCAAGACCAUAACAGCCACUUUUGUUUAAAUAAUUAUAACGUUCACAACAUUCUAAAUGUAAGAGCUGUUUUUCCUGUUCAUUUGCACCAGCUAAUAAAUAGUAAAAAACGUGA